rnacentral:lncRNA from 1 species
GUGGGGAAGAGAAGGAAAAAGGGGGUGUUAUUUUCAUUAAAUCUAUAGUAACAAAGAGAGUACGUUUUUCUUCUAUCAGUAGUGAGAAUAAAUGAAAAGAACUAUAAUUUCACCUGAUUAACAACUUCUUGGAAUAGUUAAGAAAAUGACAAACAGUCAUUGUAAUUUGGGUUAAAAAUGCUACCCAGUCAAAGACCAUAUGUUUGAGUAUGAGCCAAAAUUAUUUAGUUUUCGAGAUUUUUUCAUAUCCAUAAAUUUCACCAGCUGAUUAACCGACCGAACUUAACAAUAUUUCAAACCAACCCGCUUG